rnacentral:rRNA from 1 species
UCCUUCGGGACCAAAGAUUUAUCGGCAUUGGAGCGGCCUAUCUCCUAUCAGCUUGUUGGUGAGGUAACGGCUCACCAAGGCAACGACGGGUAGCGGGACUGAGAGGUUGGCCCGCCACAUCGGGACUGAGACACUGCCCGGACCUCCACGGAGGGCUGCAGUAACGGAUAUUGGGCAAUGGGCGAAAGCCUGACCCAGCAAUGCCGCGUGCAGGAUGAAGCCCCUAGGGGUGUAAACUGCUGUCAGGGGUCAGAAAGCUGGUUUCGGCCAGUUGAUCAACCCCAGAGGAAGUCACGGCUAACUUCGUGCCAGCAGCCGCGGUAAUACGAAGGUGGCAAGCGUUAUUCGGAAUCAUUGGGCUUAAAGGGCACGCAGGCGGAACAGUGUGUGUCGUGUGAAAUCCCCCGGCUUAACCGGGGAAUUGCACAGCAAACUGCUGUUCUUGAGGCAGGUAGGGGUGCAUGGAACUCUUGGUGGAGCGGUGGAAUGCGUAGAUAUCAAGAGGAACGCCAGAGGUGAAGACGGUGCACUGGGCCUGUCCUGACGCUGAGGUGCGAAAGCGUGGGGAAGCGAAACGGGAUUAGAUACCCCGGUAGUCCACGCCGUAAACGAUGUCUACUAGGUCGUGGGUGUUCUGACACAUUCACGGCCGGAGCAAAAGUGUUUAGUAGACCGCCUGGGGAGUACGGCCGCAAGGUUAAAACUCAAAUGAAUUGACGGGGGCUCACACAAGCGGUGGAGCAUGUGGAUUAAUUCGAAGCAACGCGCAGAACCUUACCUGGGUUUGACAUGCUUGUAUGCCUUCUCUGAAAGGAGUUAGGCUGCCUUCGGGUGAAACUUGCACAGGUGCUGCAUGGCUGUCGUCAGCUCGUGUCGUGAGAUGUCUGGUUAAGUCCUUUAACGAGCGAAACCCUUGCCGUUAGUUGCCAGCGAGUAAUGUCGGGGACUCUAACGGGACUGCCGGUGUUAAACCGGAGGAAGGUGGGGAUGACGUCAAGUCCUCAUGGCCUUUAUGCCCAGGGCUUCACACGUGCUACAAUGGCAAUUACAGAGCGACGCGAUACCGCGAGGUGGAGCAAAUCGCAAAAAAAUUGCCUCAGUUCGGAUUGCAGGCUGGCAAUUCGCCUGCAUGAAGUCGGAAUCGCUAGUAAUCGCGUAUCAGCAAUGACGCGGUGAAUGUGUUCCUGAGCCUUGUA